CAGGAAGGCAGACACAUGAAGACCUGGGGACUCUUCAAACAGCCAGUCUAUUCAAGUUGGUGAGCCCCAGGACUCUGGCUGUCAUAUGGUUGCUCUGUGUGUGGACUGCUUUUGUUCCUUCCAACACUGUAGGGCUGGCAUCGAUUUUUGCUUACAGAACACUGUGAAGGGAAGUCAGGACAGGAACCCAAAGCAGGAACCAUGAAGAAAAGGUACUUACCACCUUGCUUC